UACAGAGGUCUCAAGCGUUGUUCGGAUUCAUUGGGCGUAAAGGGUGCGUAGGCGGCGCGGUAAGUCGGGUGUGAAAUCUUCGGGCUUAACUCCGAAACUGCAUUCGAUACUGCCGUGCUUGAGGACUGGAGAGGAGACUGGAAUUUACGGUGUAGCGGUGAAAUGCGUAGAUAUCGUAAGGAAGACCAGUGGCGAAGGCGGGUCUCUGGACAGUUCCUGACGCUGAGGCACGAAGGUCAGGGGAGCAAACGGG
rnacentral:rRNA from 1 species